GUUGAAAUUGUUUAUACCAAUUCCGUUAACACCACUCCGCUGCACCUAAAAUGCUAUAAAAUUUACGAUGUCUGAUUAUUAUGUUACUUAUUUGUUUCGACUUUCAUUUACUUGGGACAGAAACUCGUUAAUUACAAAAAUAUGACUAUUCCACAUUCCCACACAACAUUCUCAUUACUCUGUCAGACAAAUAAAGCUGUGCACAUAUUGGAGACUGCCGUAAGAUGACACGUUUUCCUGGUAUAGGUGACCCAGAAAAGUAUAAUAUCCAGGUAUACGGAAAUCUCAUAACCCGUUCACGUCGCCGCGCUGUUUAAAAUUCUGUUUUUAUACACAUACUAAAUGACGAUAUACCUGGUUUUGUGCCAAUUAUGUACUAAAAUUACAGAUCAAUCGAACAAAUUGGGGCAAUGGAACUAUCAUUUAGUAUCUGGCAUUAUUAAAACAGCUUAAAUAAGAAAAUAUCCUCUUGCCUACUUUACCUACUUGUAGAUUAACGAGUUACCAUAAUGAGUGUGAUAAUGGCCUAAGAUUAAUUAGUGUUUACUUACAAGAUUUAGAAGUGAAUUGAAGUACAUAAGUACUAAUAGAAACACAUUCUCCGCGAGAUCUCUAUCAUGUCAUUUUGUAUUAGGUCAUUAAUCAAUUAUCAUGCACGAGUCUAAACUAUCAAUGUAUAUUAUGUCCUUACUAAAUAGCCACCAAAAAAUGUAUCUCCGGUGAUACAGCAUAAAUCGUCUGUAAUAUAUGAUGAAAUUAAUUUAACUUAUUUAUUUUGGAGUUCACUAGGAUCAUCGGUACAGUCAGCAGCAGAAGUUGCUAAGCGGGCCAGGUGUUCAAAAUAAUGUUGACGCGACUUUAUUGUUAAGAGAAUAAGAGCGAUACUUCAUAUUUUAUACUGCACUUAAGAUUACAUCAUUUACGGCUCGGCUUCAUAAACAUAAGAGUAGAAAUCUAAUCUAUGUUUCUAUACCCAACUGACCAUUGGUCGACCUUAUAUCUUGCGUCACUUUCGGUUGCUAUUUAAAGGAAAGAGAUGCAAGACAUAUAUUUGGGCAAAUGAGGCAAAUACCAAUAACAAACCACUAUUAUCCACUCAAUAGAUGUUAAUAUUUGAAAAAUUACGAUCAAGUACCAUUUCUGAUAUUUAAAAGGCUGAGUUCGUACACGUAAUAAAUAAAGAAUUGUUUUAAAAUGUACCCUGCAAGAAGAUAAACGUAUAUAUUAUUAUAUUAUAAUUAGUAAAUCAUGCCUACAUAAUGUAAUACUCCCGUCAAACUUUCAUAGGUACUAUGGUUCGUUUUUUUAGCAUUCAAAAAAGUCUACGCGAUCUUGACGUGUCUUUUAAUUGAAAAACGCUUUUUAAAAAUCAGUAACUAUUACUUAUGAAAGCAAAGGAAUGUAAAUAAUCGUAUAUGAUUCAUAAUUGUUACAUAAUUGCCGUGCCUUGUUUUUCAAAAGUGUUUUUCAAUAAAAAGACAUGUCAAGAUUGUUUACCUUUUUUCAAAUGCUAAAAAAAGGAACUAUAUAAGUUCAUAAUAGUGACAGUAAUUCGCAAAAAGAGAACGAGGCCUGCUAAGGCCGUAGCCUUAAUAAAUAUAACUAUAAUAUGUUAGACAUUAAAGUUGUAAAUUUUUAUCGAAUGUUAGACUGAUCUUUAAAAAAUAUAUGAUCAUUAAGAUAUUUGUAAAUUUCUUAGAAAAUCUUUUUUAAGAGUAGAAUUUAAUUUUAACCUUAUUGUGAGGUAGAAGCCGGUGUGUAAUAUUUUCUAUUUGAUUUUCUAUUGAGCAAACUUAAUUUUAUUGAGUAGUUAACCAUACAUAUAGCAAUGUUAAGAGUUCUGAACUUGAGACUAGUGCCAUUGCUAAAGGAUUACACAACACAAUUACUUAAUAUUAGAAAAUCAAAUCGAAAAUUAUGAUAUUUCAUGGGCUUGCCACCCCAUCUACAGGCAGCUGACCUACCAGUGGCGAGGAAGUGACUAGCGAUCGGAAUUUCCGUGUCAUAAAAAGAGGUGUAUAUAUUAAUCUUUGGUACUAUAAAAAUUAAAAAAAAAACACUUGCUAUGAAAAACCAUCACUUUUCGCUUUUCGCAUAUUGCCAUCGGUCGGACAGCUGUUUAAAAAAGCAGUAUCAUUCUCUGUCCACUUUUCUCCUAAUUAUUUCAUACUUUUACAGGGGCUUGAAAUAAUAUAUGCCUUAGAUUUACUAAUACAAAAUGACAGUCAGAUCACUAGUUGGAAAUUAUCAUGGUUUAUUGGCUGUAGGUAGAUGAAAUGUGUGUUUGUUACAAAAUUCACAAAAUGGACAGCCACACAGUGAUUAACCAAGCUUCUGAGGGUGCAAGGUUACCAUGAUCUUGGCUGGAGAACAAUUAAAUAUGGUGGUAAACUAUCUUCUAUUCUAUAUGGUUGGAAACCAGCAAAGUUACCAUUGUUGGCAAUUGUCUGGUCCCCCCCCCCCCCCCCUUAAUUCUCAGGGGUCUACAUUUUAUUCUCUUUGCCACUAAGGCCUCAAGAAGUUAAUUAAGCCAAUAAUAACAGUAAUAAUUUCUUACUAUAUACAACACAACUGCUUAAAACACGAAAAUAGUUAAUCUGAGACAUAAAUUAUCUCAACAAUAAUUUUAUUAGAUUAAUGUUACGAAUGUACACACCUACUUACGGGGAUAGAAUUAAGUUAUAUACCUCAAUUUGCUCACGGACUUGCUUAACGACGGAAUCUGUGUAGCUAAAUGUAAAAUGAUAAGGAUUUUGUAAAUAUUAUGUAUGUAGAAAAGAAAAUCUUAUUUGUAAAUUAAAUUCAUAUGUUUAAUGGCAAUGUGUCGAUGUAAUACACUUAUGAUGAUAAAUAAAUAUGGUAAAAUAA